UUCAUUCAUUUUAAUAUCUUUUAACUUCUCAAUGAUUCCCAAAUGCAUUAAAUUAUUAUAUAGGACAUUUUAGCUGCAAAGACAUUUUAUUAUAACAUAAUCUGCAGAACAAUUGUGGUGCUGCAAUUACACUGUUAAAGUGGACUUUUACACAUUUACAUCAAAUUUUAGUCUAAUGCAAGAAAAACCGUUGUUUCAACGGGUUAGAAGGAACUUUCUCAGUUAUAACGAGUUAUUCUAUCCAACUGCUCAUUUAAUUUCAAACAUCAAAUGUGCAUGAGCAUUAAAUAAAAAUAGUAACAAAGAAAAACUCGUUUUCCAAUUUGCAAAUUAGCCCAUUGCCGGUAAUCAAUUUUCAUCGAACCCUACCAAUCGAUUUGUUAUCGAAAGCGAGCCUCAUGUUAUUUAAUUGAUAGCUGAUUACGCGAUCCGUCGGAGAUGAUUCUCUAAGGUAGCACUUAAUGAUCUGGUAAAAAUGUAUUACUUCGUACCUUCCGUUUAGGCCCGGCUAUAAUAAUUAAAUAUUUCAUUUUCAAAUAUGACUUAGCACAAUGCUUAUCUAUAUCUUGGCUAUAGACAAUCAUAAAUUAGGAGCCAAUUGCCAUGGAAUGUUACUACUCACUUUGAGAGCCUGAUUGAUUGUUGAUACUUGUAGCUAUGCGAUUCCAAUCAAAAUUCAGGGUUGGCCAGGUUUACAAAUACAGAUAACCAGAAUGAGUAUAAAAUAAUCAACAUUUCAAGCACUACAAUACUAUAAAAAUUAUUUUGUUCAAUUCUCACCUCAGUAACAGAUUUUUCUGCAAAAAUAUAUAUAAACCGAUCCUGACCAAGGCUGAAAAUUGAGUAGAAAUCAACUUAUUCUGAUAUACGUUCGUGCAACAAUUCUAAGAGCUCGAGCUUACCCUUCAAUAUCACUGUAAUAAAUACAGCAUUCCUUUAGAUAUCCAAUGUUUGCUGUUUAAAACUUGCAACUGAACGGCUGCUAUUGAUACAGCUCCCACUACCAGCAAGUCAAGUGCCAUAUUGUUCAAUGCCACUAGCAAAAGACUAAAAGAUUGGAAGAAGUAAAAUGGAUAAUGGAAAUAACCAUCGUUGAAAUGUGGAAACUCCAUGGGAAGCGAACCGGUUUCAAACGCUGGAAAUAUCGCAGAUAUUCAAAGUUCGCUGCAAGUAUAAUAAUAUCGAAUACUUUACCAGGGAAUAAGUUGCGAAAUAGCAGACUGCCAAAAACAACUGUAAAAUAGCCAAAGUCCACAACUCGGACAAUUUGCAGAAAGUUGGAAAUAAUCGACUGGUACAUCACUUUAUUCCGCGUGAAAGUAGAAGUCUCCAACAUGCCCACAAGUGCCCAUAACGUUUUUUGAUUAACAGAUAGCAUUAUAGCUUUCAAGAGAACAUUUAUCACCGACAUGCAUAUGAACAGACUUUCUGAUAAUGCCACAAAAUUGUCAAUAUGAAAAGAAGCAUUAUACACAAGAGUUAAGAGUAGCAAAACGCUAAUAGUUAAUGACGCAAAACCACGAGUUUUGUAUGACCAAGAUGAGUCUUUUUGAGGAUAUGAAGCGGUCAGUAACAGAACUUUGCGCGGAAAUGCUAUAAAUCCCACUAAAGCCAUUAUGGGACAACUGCAAGAUAAUCGAAAGAAUAUUAGGGCAAAGCUGUAGCUUUAUAUUCCUAGAGAAAAUUAAAUAUUAAUAGCUCUUAGCAGGUUUCAACAGUAAUAAGUGUCUCUAUCUAAUAGGUCCAGAUAAUUAGGGAUGGUUCGGCAAUUAAACUAUACCAGUUAGAAACAUAACUGGAAAUUAGAUGAAAUUCAAAAUCCACCUAUUAGCGUUAUUGAUGUUGGUUCAAUUUUGUACGAGGCCUUAAUUAUAGUCCAAAACUAAUUAAACCUAAAUAUGUGUAUACACUUUUGUCAUAAAAACACGUUUCUUGGACUAUAAUCAGUUAUUAUUUUUUUAGUUCAGCAACCAUGAAACGUUUAUGAGACAUUUGUAAGUCUGCAGUGCUUGCAAUGCUUUAGUUAUGCACAUUAUUAAACAUAAAUGUUUAGAAUCAUGUUCAUCUGUCAGUUUAGCGCUCUGUAUGGAAUAUCCUUUAAAUGUUUCUCGAAUAAGUCAUACAUCACUUAUUAAAAGGUGUUUCGUAGUCAUGAAAGCGAUUAGCUGCAAAUUGUAUUAUUUCUUAGGUGUAAAACUAUAAUUUGCAUAAAACAUAUCGCUAAGUAAAUUAGAUGUAUGUUAUAAUCAAUUCAACGCAGACAAUUUUGCUUUCUCCUAUAAAAAACUAAUAUAAUCAUAAUUCAUCAUACACGAUCUUUUGAUUUCCUGGUACGAUGAACAAAAACAUGAGAUGUAGAGGCAAUAUAUUUUUUAAAGUAAAUUAAAUUAAUGCAUGCAAUUAUAAUUAGACUUAAAAAUGCAUUCUCUUGAAAAUGUAAUAUUUAAGGUAGGGUUUAAGGUGUUACUGUGUUUCCUUAUUCAACUUUUUUCUCACAUUCUACACACUAUUUCCUUGUAGGAUCCGCUUACAAAAAUUUUACAAUUAGCUGAUCGGUAAUGAGCAGUACCGGGUCCAUAUUCAGCUCAUUAAACCAAGUAGUUAGGACGCAAUCCUAUCAAAAUAAAUACCUAACAAUUUCA